UACGAAGGGGGCUAGCGUUGCUCGGAAUCACUGGGCGUAAAGCGCACGUAGGCGGCUUACUAAGUCAGGGGUGAAAUCCUGGAGCUCAACUCCAGAACUGCCUUUGAUACUGGCGACCUUGAGUCCGGGAGAGGUGAGUGGAACUGCGAGUGUAGAGGUGAAAUUCGUAGAUAUUCGCAAGAACACCAGUGGCGAAGGCGGCUCACUGGCCCGGUACUGACGCUGAGGUGCGAAAGCGUGGGGAGCAAACAGG
rnacentral:rRNA from 1 species